GACGAACGCUGGCGGCGUGCUUAACACAUGCAAGUCGAACGGAAAGGCCCUGCUUUUGUGGGGUGCUCGAGUGGCGAACGGGUGAGUAACACGUGAGUAACCUGCCCUUGACUUUGGGAUAACUUCAGGAAACUCGGGCUAAUACCGGAUAAGAGCUCCUGCUGCAUGGUGGGGGUUGGAAAGUUUCGGCGGUUGGGGAUGGACUCGCGGCUUAUCAGCUUGUUGGUGGGGUAGUGGCUUACCAAGGCUUUGACGGGUAGCCGGCCUGAGAGGGUGACCGGCCACAUUGGGACUGAGAUACGGCCCAGACUCCUACGGGAGGCAGCAGUGGGGAAUAUUGCACAAUGGGCGGAAGCCUGAUGCAGCAACGCCGCGUGCGGGAUGACGGCCUUCGGGUUGUAAACCGCUUUCGCCUGUGACGAAGCGUGAGUGACGGUAAUGGGUAAAGAAGCACCGGCUAACUACGUG
rnacentral:rRNA from 1 species